rnacentral:misc_RNA from 1 species
GAUGAAGAACGCAGCGAAAUGCGAUAAGUAGUGUGAAUUGCAGAAUUCAGUGAAUCAUCGAAUCUUUGAACGCACAUUGCGCCCUCUGGUAUUCUGGAGGGCAUGCCUGUUCGAGCGUCAUUAAAACUACUCAAGCUAAGGUUUUACCUUCUGCUUGGUCUUGGGUUUGAGGAUUCAAAAUCCUCUCUCCGAAAUCCAGUGGCGAAUUGUUUGAGCUGUAGACGUAGUAAAUCAUUCUACCCGUUGCAAGCGAGAAUAAUAUUCAGCCAUAACCCCCAUACUUUUCUAGUUUGACCUCGGAUCAGGUAGGGAUACCCGCUGAACUUAAGCAUAUCAAUAAGCGGAGGA